rnacentral:rRNA from 1 species
UACGUAGGUGGCAAGCGUUGUCCGGAUUUACUGGGCGUAAAGAGCGCGUAGGCGGAGAUCUAAGCGUGGCCUGAAAGCCCCCGGCUCAACCGGGGAGUGCGGCUGCGAACUGGGUUUCUUGAGGACGAUGGAGGAGAGUGGAAUUCCUGGUGUAGCGGUGAAAUGCGUAGAUAUCAGGAGGAACACCCGAGGCGAAGGCGGCUCUCUGGGUCGUACCUGACGCUGAGGCGCGAAAGCGUGGGGAGCGAACGGG